CCUACGGGAGGCAGCAGUGGGGAAUCUUGCCCAAUGGGAGAAAGCCUGAGGCAGCAACGCCGCGUGUGGGAUGAAGGCCCUUGGGUUGUAAACCACUUUCAGCAGGGACGAAAAUGACGGUACCUGCAGAAGAAGCCCCGGCCAACUACGUGCCAGCAGCCGCGGUAAGACGUAGGGGGCGAGCGUUGUCCGGAUUUAUUGGGCGUAAAGAGCUCGUAGGCGGCUCAGAAAGUCGGGUGUGAAACCUCCAGGCUCAACCUGGAGACGCCACCUGAUACUGCUGUGGCUAGAGUCCGGUAGGGGAACACGGAAUUCCCGGUGUAGCGGUGAAAUGCUUAGAUAUCGGGAGGAACACCAGUGGCGAAGGCGGUGUUCUGGGCCGGAACUGACGCUGAGGAGCGAAAGCGUGGGUAGCAAACAGGAUUAGAUACCCUGGUAGUCCACGCCGUAAACGUUGGGCACUAGGUGUGGGACCCUAUCGACGGGUUCCGUGCCGUAGCUAACGCAUUAAGUGCCCCGCCUGGGGAGUACGGCCGCAAGGCUAAAACUCAAAGGAAUUGACGGGGGCCCGCACAAGCGGCGGAGCAUGUUGCUUAAUUCGAUGCAACGCGAAGAACCUUACCUAGGCUUGACAUGUAGCGAAAAGCCGUAGAGAUACGGUGUCCUUCGGGGCGCUACACAGGUGGUGCAUGGUUGUCGUCAGCUCGUGUCGUGAGAUGUUGGGUUAAGUCCCGCAACGAGCGCAACCCUUGUCCUAUGUUGCCAGCGGAUAACGCCGGGGACUCGUAGGAGACUGCCGGGGUCAACUCGGAGAAGGUGGGGAUGACGUCAAUCAUCAUGCCCCUUACGUCUAGGGCUGCAACUUGCACAUGCCCGUACCAAGGGCUGCUAUUCCGCGAGGAGGACGAACCCAAAAAACCGUCUCAUUCGGAUUGGAUUCUGCAACUCGACUC
rnacentral:rRNA from 1 species